rnacentral:rRNA from 1 species
GCUUGUCUCAAAGAUUAAGCCAUGCAUGUUUAAGCAGAAGCCGCACAACGGUAAAGCCGCGAAUGGCUCAUUACAACAGCCGUCGUUUCUUGGAUCUCUAAUUUUACUUGGAUAACUGUGGUAAUUCUAGAGCUAAUACACGCACUAAAGCUCUGACCUUACGGGACGAGCGCAUUUAUUAGAACAAAACCAAUCGGGUUUCGGCCCGUUCGUUGGUGACUCUGAAUAACUCUGCCGAUCGCACGGUCUCGCACCGGCGACGUAUCUUUCAAGUGUCUGCCUUAUCAACUUUCGAUGGUAGUUUAUGUGCCUACCAUGGUUGUAACGGGUAACGGAGAAUAAGGGUUCGACUCCGGAGAGGGAGCCUGAGAAACGGCUACCACAUCCAAGGAAGGCAGCAGG